rnacentral:rRNA from 1 species
UACAGAGGGUGCUAGCGUUGUUCGGAAUCAUUGGGCGUAAAGGGCGUGUAGGCGGUUUGUUAAGUCAUGUGUGAAAUCCCCUCGGCUCAACCGGGGAACGACGCAUGAAACUGGCAAGCUAGAGUACCAAAGAGGGGGGUGGAAUUCCCGGUGUAGCGGUGAAAUGCGUAGAUAUCUGGAGGAACACCGGUGGCGAAGGCGGCAUUCUGGGACCAAUACUGACCGCUGAGGAGCGAAAGCCAGGG